GAGAAAACAGAAACAGGAGGGCAAAAAUUAGUGAUGUGAUUUCACCACACAAGAAAGGAAACAGCUCUAAAGAUUGCCUCUGCAGGGGAAUGGCGAGUAAUGGCAGAACACAGUGCCAUUGAGAGGAAGAGCUUGCUGCUCCACCACUUGCAGAGCAGGAUCUUUCUAAGGAAAGGCAUGUCAGCUUUUGAAAAAGCAACAGCACUGUUGUAGACUGUCCCCUGCAAACCAGCCAGGAUGGCUGCUGCUGCUGUGGAUGUGCUCUCUCCAAACUAGGGUUUGCCAAGAAAGAAAAAGUCCCUCCCUUUGGUGUGAAGUGGAUCACUUUGGGGUGGGAGGCUGCAUGACAAAGGUUUUGUUGCUGGCCUCAGCACAGGCUUGGAAGUAUCAUAUCAGUUCCCUGCCUGAAGCAAACACUGUGUUGUGUGACUACUGUCCUUUUCAGCUAAGGACUGUGUGAAAUGAGUCUCUUUUUCUUUGCCAUUAGUUUCAAAUGCUGCCACCAGCACCUUUGCUUUUACAGGCAAGGAAUGCAGUGCAGACAGGCUCGAGGCAAAUGUUUAGAGAGGCAAGGUGGAGAACAGCAAAUACAAAUACGCAAGAGAGAGUGAGAAUACAACAGCAGAAGACAUGUGAGUCUCGCUGAUGACAUCACUCAGAGUGCCUCUGUCCAUGUACUCCAUGACCAGCCAGAGCUGCUCAUCCAUAAGGUAGCUGAAAGAAGGAAACAAGGGGUGGAGAUGAACGUGCAUGUUUGAAAACAACAACGUUGCUGUUGGAAAACACCAAGGGUUGUUUCCGGGUGCCUUUGUGACAAGGACAGAAUAAAAGGAAUAGACAUUCCCUCUCA